rnacentral:tRNA from 1 species
GGAGGGAUGGCCGAGCGGUUGAAGGCGGCGGUCUUGAAAACCGUUAUGGGUGCAAGCCCAUCGGGGGUUCGAAUCCCUCUCCCUCCGCCA